rnacentral:rRNA from 1 species
UGCGUAGGUGGCGCCGUAAGUCGGGCGUGAAAUUUCGGAGCUUAACUCCGAAACUGCAUUCGAUACUGCGGUGCUUGAGGACUGGAGAGGAGACUGGAAUUCAUGGUGUAGCAGUGAAAUGCGUAGAGAUCAUGAGGAAGACCAGUGGCGAAGGCGGGUCUCUGGACAGUUCCUGACACUGAGGCACGAAGGCCAGGGGAGCAAACG